AAAAAUCAUAAACUGUAGGAGAGAGAGAGAGAGAGAACAAAAACCUGUGUUGAUCCAGUGUCAUGGUUCUCUAGAAAGAAGUAAAGUGUACUAGCCUUAAAGAAAGAAGUAAAGUGUACUACCAGAUCUAAGUUGAUAUUGCUCUUCUUCCAUUUCUAUUUUCUUUCAAGGGAGGUCUUCGAGUGUCUAACUCAGGGGAAGGAGGGAAUAGAAAAACAGCACAGAAAUGAAUUCAAGCUAAAUAAUAUACACCAAUAGUUAUUCGCAAAGGUGUUUCUGAUAAAGAUAUAUUCCAAAUUUUCAGCAAAACAAGUUCAUAAUAGUUCGAAGACAAGAGCAUCACUGAUUUGGGCUUUUAAUUCUUGGGAAAACUGCUUUCUCUAUUUUCUUUUGGUCUUGUAACUCAGUUAAGCAAACUGCCAGAGAGCUGAGUAUUUCCAAAAUGGCUGCCAGUAAUCCGUAGAACAUUAUUUCACUGGAAAUAGAGAUCAAGGUGCGGGAAAAAAUAGAUAACACAUACAGUUCCAAAAUUGAGGACGACUGUAUGAGGAAUGGAC
rnacentral:lncRNA from 1 species